UCCAGAGAUUCCUUGAUGCUUCAUUCAACAUGUAAGUACAGACCAGAAGGCAAAAGCUCAUAGAAACGGCAAUGGGAGUUGUGGAUAGAUAUUUAAGCGUCCUUCCCUUCAAGCAGACACCUCUGGUGGGCACUCUGAAGACCCUUCAGGAAGUAUGGAUCUCACCCUAUGGUCCAGGCUGGAGUGCAGAGGCAGAAUCUCAGCUCACUACAACCACCUCCUACCUAACUGAAGAGAUCCUCCCAUCUCAAGAGUCCUGACUGGCUGGAACUACAGAGUGCCUUCUGAGUGUCGAUAACAUUGGCAGGAUUUUGUACCCUGACACUGCAGAUUUUACUCCAACAGCUCUUGCCAUGUGAGAUGUCUGCUCCCCAUUCGCCUUCCACCAUGAUUGCAGGCUUCCUGAGAUUCUCACCAGAAGCAGACACCAGCACCGCAUUUGUACAGCCUGCAGAGAUGACUGGAGUCAGAACUUAUGGAGGGAAAAGGUAGCUGCAGACUACUCUUCUGAAAAAUAAGAAGCAAUUGAAGGCACACACGUAAUUUCCUUUUGCUACUUAUCUUGGCAUCUGACAGCUCUUAAAAUCAUGAUUGGCUUCGUAAGACUAACAAAUAUAAGGUGGUAAGUUAAAAAGGCACUACUUUUCUUGUCUUGGUUUUGUUUGAAUCAAAAUAGCGGCCUAUAUAUAGGUUCCUACAUAAGAUAAUAUUAUGUAAACCCAAAUAGAACCCUCUGGGAGCUACAUUACCACCACCAUCACCUUCUUUGCUUUACCGCACUAACUGGCACUUUUAAUUUUCCUGGAAAGAGGUCUCAGUAAGGAUAAACUUCAUAAACCAGUAAGCUUUAGGUGUUUAGAACACCUUCUGGAAAAGCAAUGUCCAGAAAUGUUGCCCUGAAAACUCUGUGCGUGUUUCUGACUUAACCCCGAAGUACUCUUGUUAGAAAGAUUUGAUUAAUCUUGGUUUCAGUAUUCCUUUUCCUGAGUUGAUGUGGAUGGGGAGAUCAUGGGAAGAAGGUAGAUAAAAGAGCAGUUAUUCUGUUAAAUUUCAUCUAAAAGUCAUCUUCUGAGAUCACACAAUGGUAAAAACAUUAGCUUUUGACAAAGUUGACUUGAGUUUGAAAUCAGCUUUGCUAUGAUCCUUAGAUAAAUUACUUACAUUUACUGAAUUUAAAUUUCCAUAAUCAUAAAAUGGAGCUAAACCCAUCCAUCUCGUAUGAUUACUGUUAAUAUUAGGAAUAAUUCACAUCAAGCACCUAACGCAGCUCUUGGCAUCUAUUAAAUAGUAAAUGUUCAAUAAAUUAUAGCUAACAUUGUUACUCUUUUCAUCAUCCCUUUAAAACAUUACAAAUCCACCUAAUUUCCUAUACCAAUCUUAACUAUAUGCCUUUCUGUUUAAAUGUAAACUUUAUUUUUUUAUUUUAUACACACAUAUGUAUAUGUACUUUAGAAAUAACUGAAAGUCAUCUUUUUGUUCUUAAAAUACCUGUCUCCAUUACUGAUAUCUUGUUAAACAGCAACUUACAAGAACAGAAAUAAGUUACUUCUGUUUUUUCUCCAAGCAUUUAUUGCAUUUGUCCUAUUCAACAUGUAGCCAUAAAAGUGAUUUAUGUGAGAUGAAAGCUAAAAGCGAUAGCUUAAUUUCUCCAAAUUAAACAAUUCCUCAAAUCUAUGCAAAUUGAAAUGUCCAAAUGUGAUGGGAGAUGUAAAAUGCUAACUGCAAGUAAUGUUAAAGAGGCUAUUCUUUUAAUAAAUUAAAGACUGAUGCUAUUAGCAUUGUUAACAAAAGAAUUUUAAGAACGGAUCCUUCUACACUUGUGUACAUAAUCUAGAUAAGGUGUGGAAGUGACUAGCCCAAUUUACAGCCCUCACAGCAUUCCUUCAAACAGUAGUCACCAAUGUAUGAAAAGGGAUCCUAUAAAAAAUAACAGAUGCUGCAGCCAUACUAAUCUGUAUAUUCUUGCCUAAAAAUAGCAUUUUAAAAUGCACCUCCUCUGGUUCUUGUUUGUUCAUUUCGUGUAUGUAACUUCAAGAUUUUACAUAACAGCACCAUAACAACAUUGCACUAGAGACAGUUUUAUUCAUUUCAGUAGCUUACACUGACACUCCUUUUAGAAAACAGCCAUUUUGAUGGCUAACAUUAAAAAAAACAUAUUAAAUAUGAACAUAUGAGCAGCUCAGAGGAACCUCUUUGUCAUAUUUGUCAGAAACUGAGAAUUUCAUUCGGAGUUCCUGGAGCUCAGGGCAGAUGGAAAUGUACAGUUCCUUAGUUUGAGAAGUCAUUAAUAUUCCAACCUGUAAUAGGCAUUAAGAAAAACUACAAUCUGGGAUUUGGACCACUGUACCAGAAUUAGUUUAGAUUCUUUGAAUAUUACGUUAUGCAAAUGUAACAUAUUGUUUCUUUUUCGAAUUUUGAAGAAAUCCAUAGGAAAGAAAUAUCAGAAAAAUAAGUCCGGAUUAUAUACAUAUUAAAGUAAUAUUUUCCUGUUACAAUGUUUUUUCAAUAAUUAAUGAGUGUAUAUUUCAGAGUUACUAAUAGCCUGAGAGACAGGAACUGAAGAAUGUCGGCAGCUCCCCUGUGUUUGAGACAAUGUGUCAUACUCUGCUGUAUGGGAAUGUUGGGGCUCAGCAAACAACACCCCAAAAUGAAGGCCUCAGCACCAUCCUCAAAAACAAAAGUUGUUUUUUCUUUUUUUUUUUUUCUCUGACCUUCUCCUGCCCUCUUGUCUUUCUGAGUCAUUCUGUCCCUAGGAUAGCCAUUAAACCUAGAACCCCUCUUCGCCAAGACAGGCCAUAGAAAUCAGAACCCCUUUUCCAGAAAGCCGGCCAUAAAACCUAAAAAUGUUCUAUGUAAAAACUGGCCAUAAAGAAAUCUUACUUAACUUGUUUGACUGUGGGUCAUAAGACCCCCAUUCCAGAGAGGGUCCUAUCCGCACCUGGAAAGAAAGAAUGCAUGUUCAGAGAGGCCAAGAAGAGUCUAGGCAGGCAUUGCUGGGUUUUUCCACUCAGCCUGUUAGCAUGAGAUCAUACCCUUUUUGUGUAAUCACUUUUCUACAUAGCUGUCCAUACUUUGUUGAACCUAAGCACAAAAAUGGGCAAAUUUCCCCUGUGUCUUUGGGUCUUCAUUCUGAAUCCUCCUGUGUAUACACGUUAAAUAAAUUUGUAUGUCUUUUCUUCUAGCAAUCCAUCUGCCUUAUGUCAGUGAUUUUUCAGCAAACAUUUAGGGGGCCAAGUUUCUUAGCUCCUACAGAGACUUACUUGGUAACCAGAAUGUUCUCCUUUCUUGAGUUAUUUUGCAUACAACUAUAUGUAGCUUGGCCUAAUGCCAAAGUCAACUAUGCUGGGAAAUGAAAUAAUUUAUGAAAACACACAAAUAGAUGCACACACAUAAUCUUGUAGUUUACGAAAAUUGUCUUUGUGUGUUUUUUCUUAAUUCCUAUUAUCUACCUUAGUAAAUUCACAUUUAAGUAGAAUCUAGGAUUUUUCCAUUCUACUGCAGGAAAUGCAUAAGAGCAAAAGUAUGAGAACUCUCCAGUGUACAUAUAUAGGAAAAAACACUGAAGUUUACAUGAAAUUAUCAAACUGAUCAUCGAGCUAACAGUAAAAUUCUUUGUUUUAAAAAGCAGAGUUAUUCUUUUUUUUUUUUUUUUUUUUAGAGUUUCACUCUUGUCGUCCAGGCUGGAGUGCAGUGGCAUGAUCUUGGCUCAUUGCAACUUCUGCUUCUGGGGUUCAAGCGAUUCUCCUACCUCAGCCUCCUGAGUAGCUGGGAUUACAGACACCUGCCACCAUGCCCAGCUAAUUUUUGUGUUUUUAGUAGAGACAGGGUUUCACCAUGCUGGCCAGGCUGGUCUCAGACUCCUGACCUCAGUCAAUCCACCUACCUCAGCCUCCCAAAGUGCUGGGAUUACAGGUGUGAGCUACCGUGCCCAGCCUAAAAAGUAGAAUUUUUUAAAUGGCUAAAAUAAUUGCAAUAAAAAUAGAAAUGAAAUUUGUACAGGUCAAGUGCUAUAAAAAAUUUCAAAAUAUAGACACGAAUUUUCAUACUCACCAUGACAAAUUUAACCAUUAUUUGAAAAAAUAAUUACAUGAAAGACACAGACUUAGUUUUCCAGCCUGUUGACAAAAUAAUAUAAUAGUCCUAUACGCUUUCUUAAAGAAAGAAACAACACUUGCCCACAGGAAGACAUGAGUUGUAGGGGCCAAAAUUACAGUUGACUAUUUCAUACAGAAAAGAGACAUCAUUUUUAAAUGUUUUUAUAUUCAAGUUAUAAAACAAUUAAGAUCUAGUGGUGAAUUUCUGCUCAUGUUUAGAUUAACUGAAAGUGUAUUCCAAGUUUACAUAAACAUAAAAUAAAACGCUAUACAUUAUUUGAGAGACAAUUUGAUGGGGCUGGGAGAGAGAGGGAAGGAAGAAAGCAAAGAAAGAAAAAAAAUGAAAGUUAUCUAUUAAGUACAUAUGAAUGACAAAGAAAAGCAUUUUAGCUUUAGGCUUCUAGAACAAUUAAAGGAGGCGGUACACCUUAAAUUGUCUAACAGUUUGUUACUUUAGCCCUUUUCUAUAUAUUAAAGAAAAAUAGGAAUAAGAAAAUAAAACAUUUUAUUACAAAUGGGAGCUAAACAUUAAGUACAUGUUGACAUAAAGAAGGAAGUAACAGACACCGUGGUCUAGUUGAGGAUGGAGAGAGAGAGGAGGAUGAGGAUCAAAAACUGCCUAUCGGGUACUAUGCUUAUUACCUGUGUAACUGAAUAAUCUGUACACCAAUCCCCAGGGACAUGCAAUUUACCUAUAUAACAAACCUGCACAUGUACCCCUAAGCCUAAAAUAAUUUUUUAAGUUUAAAAAUAAAUAAAUACAUAAAUAGAGAUAUCUGGUAUUUGAAAAUAUUUGGCUCCUAUUCUUCAAUCAAACCUGAUUGUCAAUAGUUAAAAUUAAAAACAACUACUUCUUUCCUAUUUCCUCAUAAUUGUCUAUUGUUUCCAUGGAAUAAAACUGUGGAUGCACAAAAACCAGGUGUGCUGUCUUUGUAAAUAGCCCAUAUAUUAUACAACAUUGAAAUUGAUUCUGACAGGUUAUUUAUUGUUGGCUUUACUCCAAGAUUGGAAAUAUUAUAACAUUGUGAGAUGAAUAUAUUGAGAAAAGAACAGUAAGGCAAAGAAUAAAUAAGCAAAAGUAAUUAGGAAUGGAUUACAUUCUUUAAUGUAAAGGAACACGUUUUGCUAAAGUAUGUACAACUCCCAAUGCAUGUACAAUUCCCAAUAGCAGAAUUUUGUUGAAAUUAAUUCUUUGAGCUAUUUUCUGAAAAUUUAAAGUUUUGUUUUAACAUAAUUUUUUAUGUUGUGUUCAUCUUGUCAUCAUUUGGAUGCCAUCAAA
rnacentral:lncRNA from 10 species